CCUACGGGUGGCAGCAGUGGGGAAUAUUGGGCAAUGGGCGCAAGUCUGACCCAGCAACGCCGCGUGAAGGAAGAAGGCUUUCGGGUUGUAAACUUCUUUUGUCAGGGACGAAGCAAGAGACGGUACCUGACGAAUAAGCCACGCCUAACUACGUGCCAGCAGCCGUUGUAAUACGUAGGUGGCAAGCGUUAUCCGGAUUUACUGGGUGUAAAGGGCGAGUAGGCGGGGAGGCAAGUCAGAUGUGAAAACCACGGGCUCAACCUGUGGACUGCAUAUGAAACUGUGUUUCGUGAGUGCUGGAGAGGCAAUCGGAAUUCCGUGUGUAGCGGUGAAAUGCGUAGAUAUACGGAGGAACACCGGUGGCGAAGGCGGAUUGCUGGACAGUAACUGACGCUGAGGCGCGAAAGCGUGGGGAGCAAACAGGAUUAGAUACCCCGGUAGUC
rnacentral:rRNA from 1 species